AAACAAUAGCAACAUAUUUGUGGAAGAUUAUUUCGACCAGUAACAUCAACGAGGAGCUGUCCAACCAACCAAAUUGUGAAGAUAUAGACAUCCAAGUUGGUGAUAUCGACCGGCCGUCAGGUUUCACCAUGAUGUUCAUUCCGGUUGCUCACCAGCUAAAGUUGCUAUCCUUUUGGAUAGCUUGAGGUCAAAUUGAAGUCGGCUGGGAGCUCGUUCGAGGAAAUCAAGAAAGGAAUGAUUUGAUAUAUACGCUUGUUUGGGCAAAUAUCUUGCCGAAUAAAGCA
rnacentral:misc_RNA from 1 species